rnacentral:tRNA from 1 species
AACUGAUACGGGGUGUGGUAUAAGCAGUAAAAAUAUUUAUAGGAUAUUUGAAUAUGGUUUUACAACAAAGCAGCCUGGUUCAGGAUCGGGUAUCGGACU